AGAGGCCCAAGUUGAUAGCCGCCGGCGUAAAGAGUGGUUAAUAAGCCCCAAAUACUAAAGCCGAACAUCUUCAAAGCUGUUAUACGCAACCGAAGACAGGAAGACCCUCCACGAAAGUGGCUUUAAACCUUAUGACCCCACGAAAGCUAGGACACAAACUGGGAUUAGAUACCCCACUAUGCCUUGCCCUAAACACAAGUAGCACUCUUACACCUACUACUCGCCUGGGAACUACAAGCUCAAGCUUAAAACCCAAAGGACUUGGCGGUGCUUUAGACCCACCUAGAGGAGCCUGUUCUAGAACCGAUAAUCCCCGUUCAACCUCACCCUCCCUUGCUUUUCCCGCCUAUAUACCGCCGUCGUCAGCUUACCCUGUGAAGGACUUAUAGUAAGCAAAAUUGGCACAGCCUAAAACGUCAGGUCGAGGUGUAGCGCAUGAGAGGGGAAGAAAUGGGCUACAUUCACUGGCACAGUGAAUUACGAAAGAUGCUUUGAAACAACCGUCCGAAGGAGGAUUUAGCAGUAAGGAGAAAAAUAGAGCGUUCCCCUGAAACUGGCCCUGAAGCGCGCACACACCGCCCGUCACUCUCCCCAAGCUAAACAUCCUUAAUAAAUAAAACAAUAAAAUUGCAAAGGGGAGGCAAGUCGUAACAUGGUAAGUGUACCGGAAGGUGCACUUGGAAAAAU
rnacentral:rRNA from 1 species